GACGUAGGGCGCAAGCGUUGUCCGGAUUUAUUGGGCGUAAAGAGCUCGUAGGCGGCUGGUUGCGUCGGACUGUGAAACCCGCGGCUCAACCGUGUGGUCUGCAGUCGAUACGGGCUGGCUGGAGUUCGGUAGGGGAGACUGGAAUUCCUGGUGUAGCGGUGGAAUGCGCAGAUAUCAGGAGGAACACCGGUGGCGAAGGCGGGUCUCUGGGCAGUAACUGACGCUGAGGAGCGAAAGGCGUGGGGAGCGAACAGG
rnacentral:rRNA from 1 species